rnacentral:lncRNA from 1 species
GGGAGCUGAAGCGAUGAGGUAAUUGGAGCGGUGACCGGUCGGUCCUCGCGCGCCUCCUCGGGUCCCUGCAUCGAGUUGUGAAGGCACAGGCUGGGCGCGACUCAGGCACCCUGGAGGGACUCUCCGAGGGGUGCCGGGCUGCAAACCGGAGCCCGUGAAAUCCCCUCUGGGGAAGCAGAGGUGGGCCGGUUCCGAUCCCGACGUUCCCUUCGGGCGUGCGGAGAAGCGUCUUAAGAGGGCUGACUCCGACCUUCACGCACGUUAACCCUCAAACCGGUUUAGCUUCGGCGUUUUGGAACCCAGCCCACCGAGCCGCGGGGAUCGCCUUGGCGUGCAACUCAGGAAAGUUUUAAGGGUCCUCCCCCUCAACCCCCCGUCUGCACGUGCACCCUCGCCUUUCCUGCCUGUGAAAGCUGGUGACCACCCUGCUCUCCUUUCUCUUUUUGCAGGUCCGGAAAUCUGCUCAGAGCACGGAACUACCCAGCUCGAGCCUGGGUAGACGACCCGCGCACUCCUCUCGCCUCUAAUUCGGGAUCAUUAAUUUCAUCGGAAAUGAGGUAACCAGUGUAGGAGAUAGAGAAAGCAAACCGAGCAUCAGAUGGCAGUUCUCGUGAAUCCGCGCGGUAAGAACUUCCUCUGGACUCAGUUUUUAAAGUGCAGUUCUCAGUUCCUCGCCACCCGACCCUCCGUGGGUACCACCGCCAGGCAUUAGCUGGAAGGGAAGGACUCUUCUUUGGACUGGUGGUACCUGGCCAACAGGUGUGCCACCUGGAGGAGGAGAAGGCACAGCCAUGCUACAGGGAACUCAUUGCGGCGGCGUUCUCCUGGCUGCAGAUAAUUCUGGAAGGCCGGAUCCAGCUCAAGCACCAACAUUUCUGCGAAGUCUUUCCUGAUUAUCACAAGAGUUUGUGGCUCUGCCCAACGUGAAACAAUCCUAGAAGCUGAAAUACUUCCAGAGUUCAACAGUCUGGGAAAUUUAAAAGAGGGAGGAAAAAAGCCCUUCAUCCAAAGAUCUGAGGACAGAACUCUGUUCUUUGAGGAUGGGAGGAGGUAAGAAGACCCUAUUCAUGGCUGCAGGAGAGGAAAAGAGCCCCACAAGGAAACUACCAACAGAUGGUAAAUACAUUUUUAAUUCUUCUGUCAUACUGUGUGGACUUGU